GAUGAACGCUGACAGAAUGCUUAACACAUGCAAGUCAACUUGAACUUCGGUUUGGGUGGCGGACGGGUGAGUCACGCGUAAAGAACUUGCCUCACAGUUAGGGACAACAUUUGGAAACGAAUGCUAAUACCUGAUAUUAUGAUUUUAGGGCAUCCUAGAAUUAUGAAAGCUAUAUGCGCUGUGAGAGAGCUUUGCGUCCCAUUAGCUAGUUGGAGAGGUAACGGCUCACCAAGGCGAUGAUGGGUAGCCGGCCUGAGAGGGUGAACGGCCACAAGGGGACGAAGACCCGCCCCUAACCCGUAGGGGGGCAAAAGGUGGGGAUUAUGGGAAAAUGUACAAAGGGUUUAACCAACUAUUUUGUUGGGAAGGAAAAAUUUUUGGGAAAUAAAAAGGUUUUUAAGUGGAAAAAAAAAAAAGGAGGGACCAAAAAAAAGAAGGGAGGCCAAAAUCCGUC
rnacentral:rRNA from 1 species